CCUACGGGUGGCAGCAGUGGGGAAUAUUGGACAAUGGGGGGAACCCUGAUCCAGCCAUGCCGCGUGUGUGAAGAAGGCCCUCGGGUUGUAAAGCACUUUCAGUGAGGAAGAACGCCUGGUGGUUAAUACCCAUCAGGAAAGACAUCACUCACAGAAGAAGCACCGGCUAACUCCGUGCCAGCAGCCGCGGUAAUACGGAGGGUGCGAGCGUUAAUCGGAAUUACUGGGCGUAAAGCGCGCGUAGGUGGCUUGAUAAGCCGGUUGUGAAAGCCCCGGGCUCAACCUGGGAACGGCAUCCGGAACUGUCAAGCUAGAGUGCAGGAGAGGAAGGUAGAAUUCCCGGUGUAGCGGUGAAAUGCGUAGAGAUCGGGAGGGAUACCAGUGGCGAAGGCGGCCUUCUGGACUGACACUGACACUGAGGUGCGAAAGCGUGGGUAGCAAACAGGAUUAGCUACCCCAGUAGUC
rnacentral:rRNA from 1 species